rnacentral:sRNA from 1 species
UACCAAACAGCUUGCGAUUAUAUGCGGA